CUCAUCUCUCUUCUACAUCCUUCCAACUUUCUUUACCCCACAUGUACAAUAUUCCUUUUUUUAACUAUAAUUGUACUUUGAAUGAUUAAUUUAUGUCAAUUCACCUCAAUUUUACACAAUUUCUUAAUAACCGCGCAUAAUUUCAAACUUAAAGAACGAAAAGAGAACGGAGGGAGUUGCAUUUAAAAAAUGUGAGCAAUACUAUUUGAGUUGGAUAUGGGUUGGACCUCGUAUUCAAAUCUAACCGGAAUUAGAAAAGUUGAAAUUUUAUAGUCGAAAACCGAUUUGAAUAUUAUAUGGGAAUUAAGCUGGAUUUUUAAUCUUUAAAUCAACUCAUCUUGUGAGAUUCGAGUUGGAUUUGAAUUGAAUUGUCAUCCCUUAUGCGACUUACCCGACACAGUCGGACCCCAUAUUAAAAAGAAAAAAAAAAUUGUAAAGAAAAUUAAAGCCGUGGGACUGUUGUCUGACCAAAACAAACCCAAAAAUAGGUGUUCCCCCGGUAACCUGGUACCGGCGGCAGCAUCGGAGGAGAGAGAAUGGAGAAACCAUCCGAAGAAGAAGAAGUAGAAAAGGAAGAAUUCGAUCCAUCAGAUAUUGAAUACAUAAACUAUGGUGGUGAACAUCACCUUCCUCUAAUUAUGCACCUUGUUGAUCAAGAACUCAGCGAACCUUACUCCAUCUUCACUUAUCGCUACUUCGUCUACCUUUGGCCUCAGCUCUGCUUUCUCGUUUGUCUCCUCUUUUCAUUUCUUUAUUUUUCAAUUGAUUUUGUGAUUCAUUUUUUUAUUUUUGUCCUUUAAUUUUUGUGGGUGUUGCUUAGAAUUUGAUUAUUUUUUGUGGGUGUUGUUUAGAAUUUGGUGAUUAUAUGUGGGUGUUGCUUAGAACUUGAUUUUUUUUGUGGGUUCUGCUUAGAAUUUGAUUACUCCGUAUUUUUUGUGGGUGUUGCUUAAAAUUUGAUUAUUUUUUGUGGGUUGUGAAUUUUUAGGCGUUUCAUAGAGGAAGAUGUGUGGGAACAGUGGUGUGUAAAAUGGGGGAACAUCGUCAUACUUUUAGAGGCUACAUUGCUAUGCUUGUUGUCAUCAAAGCUUACAGAGGCAAAGGCAUUGGUAAAAGAAGAGAGAUAAGAAAGUGGCGUAAUAGCUUCACUGAUCGAGCGCUCUUGCGCCCGAAGAUGAACUGGGCUAAGCGGUCUGCCGAAGCUGUGGGAUGUAAAAAGCAUCGGUAGGGGAAGCGUUCCGCUGUUAGGGCGAACGCGCGCGCGAGCCGCGUUGGACGAAGCGGAAGCGAAGAAAAUGUCGGCUUGAGUACGCAAACAUUGGUGAGAUCCAAUGCCCCGAAAACCUAAAGGGUUCCUCCGCAAGGUUUCGUACCACGGUAAGGUGAAGUCAGCCUAAGAUCAGGCCGAAAGCCGUCAGCGAUGGACAACAGGUGAAUAUUCCUGUACUACCCUUGUUGUCCCCCGAGGGACGGAGGAGGCUAGGUUAUGCCGAAAGAUGGUUAAUCGGUUCAGGAACGCAAGGUGACCCGUUUUCAGGGUAAAGAAGGGGGUAGAACGAAAUGCCCGAGCCAAUGUUUCGAGUACCAGGCGCUUACGGCGCUGAAGUAACCCAUGCAUAACUCCCAGGAAAAGCCGAACGAACCUUCCAACAAAAGGGUACCUGUCCCCGAAACCGACACACGGUAGGUAGGUAGAGAAUACUAGGGGCGGCGAAGACAACUCUCUCAAGGGAACUCGGCAAAAUAGCCCGCGUAACUUCGGGAGAAGGGGUGCCCGCCUCACAAAGGGGGUCGAAGUGACCAGGCCCGGGCGCACUGUUUAACCCAACCUAAACAGAGGUCUCCGCAAAGUCGUAAAGACCAUGUAAAAUGGGGGCUGAACGCCUGCCCAGUGCCGGAAGGUGCAAGGAAGUUGGUGACCUGAUGACAGGCGAGCCGGCGACGAAGCCCCGGUGAACAGGCGGCCGUAACUAUAAACCGGUCCUAGAGGUAGCGAAAUUCCUUGUCGGGUAAAGUUUCCGACCCGCCACGAAAAAGGCGUAAAGAUCUGGGCACUGUCUCGCGAGAGAGGCUCGGUUGAAAUAGACAUGUCUGUGAAAAGAUGUCGGACUCCCUGCCACCUGGACAGAAAGACCCUAUGAAGGCUUUUACUGUUCCCUGGGAAUUGGCUUUGGGCCUUUCCUGCGCAAGCUUACGGUGGACAGGCGAAGAAAGCCCCCCUUCCGGGGGCCCGCGAGCCAUCAGUGGAGAUAAGCCACUCUGGAAGAGCUAGAAUUUCUAAACCUUAGUGUCAGUACCUACGGGCCAAGGGACAGUCUCAAGGUAUGACAGUUUAUCUAUGGGCGUAGGCCUCCCAAAAGGUUAACGGAGGCGUGCAAAGGUUUUCCCUCGGGCCGGAACGGAGAUUGGCCCUCGAGUGCACAAGGCAAGAAGGGAGCUUGAAACUGGCAUAGACCCACCGUCGCAGCAGGGACGAAAGUGGCCUUAGUGAUCCGACGGUGCCGAGUGGCAAGGCACGUCGCUCACGGAUAAAAGUUACUCUAAGGGAUAACAGGCUGCCAUCUCCCGCCAAGAGUUCACAUCGACGGGAAGGUUUGGCACCUCGUAAUGUCGGCUGCUUCGCCACCUGGGGCCCUGUAGUAUGUUCCAAGGGUUGGGCUGUUCGCCAUUUAAAGCGGUACCCGUGGAGCUGGGUUCAAAGAAACGUCGUGAGACAGUUCGGUCCAUAUCCGGUGUGGGCAGUUAGAGCAUUGAGAGGACCUUAUUCCUAAGUACGAGAGACCGGCAAGGACGCACCUCUGGUGUUCACCAGUUAUCGGUGCCCACGGUAAACGCUGGGUAGCCAAGUGCGGAGCGACUAACUGCUGAAAGCAUGCUAAAGUAGUUAAGCCACCCCCAGAUGAGUGCUCUCCUAUUUCCUACUUCCCCCGUCACUGCCGAUAGCACAGCUGAGGCAGUGACGGGUCUCUGCCCCUGAGGGGUGAGCGAACAGAAGUUUGGAACAGAGAAGGUCCACGGCGAGACGAGCCGUUUAUGCAUUACGAAUAGGUGUCAAGUGGAAGUG
rnacentral:rRNA from 1 species